rnacentral:rRNA from 1 species
GAUGAACGCCAGCCAACAGGGCUCAGCCACAUGCAAGUCCGAGGGGCAGCACGGUUCUAGCUUCGCUAAGGCCGAAGGCGACCGGCGCCACGGGUCGAGUAACACGUAUCCAACCUGCCGUUCUACUCUUGGACAGCCUUCUGAAAGGAAGAAUUAAUACAAGAUGGCAUCAUGAGUCCGCAUGUUCACAUGAUUAAAGGUAUUCCGGUAGACGAUGGGGAUGCGUUCCAUUAGAUAGUAGGCGGGGUAACGGCCCACCUAGUCUUCGAUGGAUAGGGGUUCUGAGAGGAAGGUCCCCCACAUUGGAACUGAGACACGGUCCAAACUCCUACGGGAGGCAGCAGUGAGGAAUAUUGGUCAAUGGGCGAGAGCCUGAACCAGCCAAGUAGCGUGAAGGAUGACUGCCCUAUGGGUUGUAAACUUCUUUUAUAAAGGAAUAAAGUCGGGUAUGGAUACCCGUUUGCAUGUACUUUAUGAAUAAGGAUCGGCUAACUCCGUGCCAGCAGCCGCGGUAAUACGGAGGAUCCGAGCGUUAUCCGGAUUUAUUGGGUUUAAAGGGAGCGUAGAUGGAUGUUUAAGUCAGUUGUGAAAGUUUGCGGCUCAACCGUAAAAUUGCAGUUGAUACUGGAUAUCUUGAGUGCAGUUGAGGCAGGCGGAAUUCGUGGUGUAGCGGUGAAAUGCUUAGAUAUCACGAAGAACUCCGAUUGCGAAGGCAGCUCACUAGACUGUCACUGACACUGAUGCUCGAAAGUGUGGGUAUCAAACAGGAUUAGAUACCCUGGUAGUCCACACAGUAAACGAUGAAUACUCGCUGUUUGCGAUAUACAGUAAGCGGCCAAGCGAAAGCAUUAAGUAUUCCACCUGGGGAGUACGCCGGCAACGGUGAAACUCAAAGGAAUUGACGGGGGCCCGCACAAGCGGAGGAACAUGUGGUUUAAUUCGAUGAUACGCGAGGAACCUUACCCGGGCUUAAAUUGCAACAGAAUAUAUUGGAAACAGUAUAGCCGUAAGGCUGUUGUGAAGGUGCUGCAUGGUUGUCGUCAGCUCGUGCCGUGAGGUGUCGGCUUAAGUGCCAUAACGAGCGCAACCCUUAUCUUUAGUUACUAACAGGUCAUGCUGAGGACUCUAGAGAGACUGCCGUCGUAAGAUGUGAGGAAGGUGGGGAUGACGUCAAAUCAGCACGGCCCUUACGUCCGGGGCUACACACGUGUUACAAUGGGGGGUACAGAAGGCGGCUACCUGGUGACAGGAUGCUAAUCCCAAAAACCUCUCUCAGUUCGGAUCGAAGUCUGCAACCCGACUUCGUGAAGCUGGAUUCGCUAGUAAUCGCGCAUCAGCCAUGGCGCGGUGAAUACGUUCCCGGGCCU